rnacentral:rRNA from 1 species
GUUAUCGUUUAUUUGAUGGUACCUUACUACUUGGAUAACCGUGGUAAUUCUAGAGCUAAUACAUGCUAAAAGCCUCGACUUCGGGAGGGGUGUAUUUAUUAGAUAAAAAACCAAUGCCCUUCGGGGCUCCUUGGUGAUUCAUAAUAACUUAACGAAUCGCAUGGCCUUGUGCCGGCGAUGGUUCAUUCAAAUUUCUGCCCUAUCAACUUUCGAUGGUAGGAUAGUGGCCUACCAUGGUUUUAACGGGUAACGGGGAAUUAGGGUUCUAUUCCGGAGAGGGAGCCUGAGAAACGGCUACCACAUCCAAGGAAGGCAGCAGGCGCGCAAAUUACCCAAUCCCAAUACGGGGAGGUAGUGACAAUAAAUACUGAUACAGGGCUCUUUUGGGUCUUGUAAUUGGAAUGAGUACAAUUUAAAUCUCUUAACGAGGAACAAUUGGAGGGCAAGUCUGGUGCCAGCAGCCGCGGUAAUUCCAGCUCCAAUAGCGUAUAUUAAAGUUGUUGCAGUUAAAAAGCUCGUAGUUGAAACUUGG